UGAAUAAAAUAAGUUAGAUUACAAUGAUAAUAGAAACACAAUGUAGAUUUAUAACUAUUAAUCCCUUCUCUUUAAACCUUAGGAAUUUGUGUUUUUUUUUAUUUUUAUUUAUUAUCCUUGACUGAAAUAUUAUUAUAUAUGAUAUGACAUAUAAUAAAUAUAUAAAACUUUUUUUGUUUUUUUUUUUUUGUGCCUCUCCCACAUGUAUCAUGUCCUGUAUUUUUGUUAACUUGUUUUGUCCAUGUCUGAUUUGUAUCACAUGUUCGUGCUUCUAGGUCUACCCUUCUUAGCAUCCUGCAAUGGUGGGGUUGCUUUUCUUUUUCGUAAAAAAGAGAAAAAAAAGAACAUUUGCAAAAAGUCUAGAAUAUGCAUAAGUUAACUAACUUAUCAAUGUUUCUAUCCUAAUUUGUAUUCUUUUUAAUUGCCAAUCUUCCUUGCGUAGUUCAAAGCAAAGUUACCUGGAAUGCAGAAUAUUCUAGUAUGAGGAACACGAAUGGGAAUGAGAACAUGGGAAACCAUGUGCUGUAAAAUGUGAUACAUUAGGGGUAGGCUUCUAUAGAUCACAUUAUUGGAAUUUGUUAAGGCACUUCAAAUAGUCAGGGCAUUCUUUUGUUAACAAUUAGGUAUCCAAUUUAACACAAUCUAUUAUUCUUUAAAUUAGUCAUGUAGAAACACAUUUUUAGGACACUAUGACUUGUUUAUUACAUUGUCUUGCCAAAACUCUUCACUGUAGAUUUUAUUCAAUAUAUCCAAUUCAUCUCUUCUAAAGCUUAAGGAAAAAUGCUAAGAAAAUAAAUAGGUAAAAAAAAUUGGAUUGAUAAAUUCAUUGUUUGGUACAAAAUUGUGUUAUGUUGUGGAAUGUGAGUUCCAAAAUGAAAAUUACUAGGAUAUUAGUGUUUUCUAGUAACAUUGGUUCAUAGUGUUAUUUUUGGCAUCAUUUAUUCUUGUUAGACCCAUAAAAUACAAUUUCCUUAGGAGCCAUUUAGAUUGGGUGCUCGUGUUCAGGUAGGCUAGGAAGUCAUUUCUUCUUCUUUAAAGAGCAAAUGCAUUCUGUUGGAUAACAAAUAUGUUACGAAUCUUAUUUUAAUUCUAGUACUUGGUGGAUGUGUGUGUCAUUUUGUAGGCCUAUACAAUUAUAUGGCAUGUACAUAUGUUUGGGAUUGUUUUUGAGGUCUGAAACUGAUUAAAUGAUCCAUCUUGUGUGGGUUAAUCCUAACUGUAUGGGAAUUAGGAUUUUUGGAGUUUGUAGACUUGUAGAAAUUAUAGGAUUAAUGAGAUUAAGCGAUUUUGUCGAGAUGUAGAGGAGACAGAAAAAUAGCAUUGAGCGAGGAAAUGGUGUGGCUUCAAGGCUCAUGGACACCGAGAAUGAGUGGCAAGUGGAGAUUGUGUCCAGGAUCAAGUAUUAAUGAUGGAUCUUGUUUUGGGUGUUUUUUGUCUCAUAUUUGUAAUCUCUACUUUUUAUAGUUGAUUGAUUUGCCUUGUCUGUACACAUAGGAAGUUUUGUUCUAAACCAUAUAAUUUUUUAACGUUUUUAUUUUUGGAUCAUGGGUUUGCUUCCACAUGGUGUGAAGGAUUCGUAACUUAACAAUUGGUAUAAGAGCUUCUGCAUGCACAAAUCGUAUCAAAGUCGAGGUAGCAGAGUCAUGAUUAGAGGACAAGGAAAAAAAAUCUUGACUUCAUUCAAAUAGAUUAGGGAUUUUGACUCCCAAGAAAAUAUUAAUAAAAAGAAAAAGAGUUCGCAAUUGCUUCUUGCCUUUAGUAACAGGAGCCAACACAUGGCAUUGUCGGUGAAUGGAGCAGCACAAAUUAAAGUAGUGGGCUUGUUCUUUUGUCAAGUUGUGACAAAGGUAAAAUAAUAAGUGAUUUUUUGUUCCGGUUGUGAAUAGAAUGUAGGAGAAAAGUCAAAAGGUUGGUGAGUUUGGCUUAACAAGGGGCAUGAUCCGGUGAGGUGUGUGACAUGUCGAGGUGA